GUACACGCUGUGACUAGCAUAUCAAUAAGCGGAGGAAAAGAAACUAACAAGGAUUCCCCUAGUAACGGCGAGUGAAGCGGGAAGAGCUCAAAUUUGAAAUCUUAAAGGGUUUCCCUUUACGAAUUGUAGUUUAAAGAAGUGUUUUCUGUUGAGGUUUUGGUAAAAGUUCUUUGGAAUAGGACAUCAUAGAGGGUGAGAAUCCCGUAUUUGACCUUUACUUUCAACUUUGUGAUACACAUUCAAAGAGUCGGAUUGUUUGGGAAUGCAGUCCAAAAUGGGUGGUAAAUUUCAUCUAAAGCUAAAUAUUGGCGAGAGACCGAUAGCGAACAAGUACCGUGAGGGAAAGAUGAAAAGAACUUUGAAAAGAGAGUUAAACAGUACGUGAAAUUGUCAAAAGGGAAGCGUUUGACACCAGUGUUGUUUUUCUGAAAAUCAAUUAAAGAACUGUUUAUGCUAAGUUGUUUAGACUUUAUCAGCUAACUGUUUAGUUUUGAGCUUUUCUUUAAUGCACUUUUCAGUUAACAAGUCAACAUCAAUUUCUUUUGCUGUAAAAAAGCUUGAGGAAGGUGGCUUGAGAUUCGUCUUAAGUGUUUAUAGCCUCUUGCCUAUGCAGUCGGAGAGAUUGAGGUCUGCAGCGUAGAUCCUUCGGGGCUAAAUGCAUUUGUGCUAAGUUAUAACAUUUUAUAGACAACUUGUUGACUAUGAUUUGUCUUGUAGCUUACUCGCUUAUGUUAUUUUACCUACGCUUAGGAUGUUGAUAUGCAUGACUGAUAU
rnacentral:rRNA from 1 species